rnacentral:lncRNA from 1 species
GAGCAAGCUGUCGUUAGUUGCAGGUCUGAGGCGGGAACCGGGGCUCCUCAUGUGUUCGCGGCUCGGUUCAGCCUUCCACGAGCUCCUGAAGUUCUGCCAUUCCCCGUGGUCUGCAGUUCAGGAAGCUUCUGGAACAUGCGGCGCCUCUGCCAUGGAAACACGAUCCGCGUCGUCAGCUUCAGAUGUGAUCUUGGAACGCUGAGUUCGCCUUGGCAGCUGUCUGAAAGUUAAUCCUGUGAAGGGACCUGAAGCAGCCCUCUGAGGAAGCCUCGCGCACCCCUGCCGAAGAACAUCGCAGUGUGUUCAUUCCCCUUCCGUUGGCCUCAGGAUCCAAGCAGGAAAGAAGAGGGAAGAACUCUGAAGGACAUGAGAGGGACCCAGCUUACAGUCCAGGGUUCCCAGACUGCCCUUUGAGAAUAAAAUAGGAGGCCAGAACCAAAGUCUUUUGGAUAAAACACCGCGACUGACCACACACUAACCCAUUUGGCUGCCCUCCUUCCCAAGGCACAGAUCAUCCCAGCAUGUGAAGGCCUCCUUCUCUCCCUCCCUCCUUCCCUUCUGACCCAUUUUCACUCUUCCACCACACAAUCAAAAAUAAAUAAAUAAAUGAAAAAAAA